AAACAAAAUCAAGAAAAGGUAGUUUAUGAAAUAUUUAUGUCCCUCUAUAGUUUGUGUGGGAAAAAAGACCACAAACGUCCGUAUGGAUGAUUUCUAAAGUUUCUUUGCUUCUUGUUGAUCCUUUCUUUCUACUACUUGUCAUUUUUCCCUUAGCAUAAUCCACACAGAACUCAAAACCAUUAAAAAUUACGGGAGGCAAAAUAUCAUUAUUGACAAGUAACUCAUCCUUUGUUUUGACAUAUGACCUAGCCUCUUUUGCUAUAAGUUUGAUGAUUGUCGAGUCUUAGUAUGUUCAUUUGAAUGUUAAAAUAAAUUCGACUUUGUUGAGUUUUAUUUGAUGUUCUCCUUGUUAUGAAGUUCUGCAAUGAAUUCGUAACAUGAAUAGAAAAGCUAGAGUCAAGCCACCAUUUAGUGCUAGGUAUAAUAAUUAAAUUAGACUCAAAACAAGCAAAAAAGUUUUUACCUUUCUUCAUAUGGCAAGCCAAGCCUUAUACAAAAAUAAUGUUUGAGAAUCGAUGGCUUGUUAGGUUUGGUGUUUCUUUUAGGAGAGGGAACCCUUUUGGUAGAAUUCUUUCUAGUAUCGGUGGUUAAGGGUGUAUGUGCCUCGGUGGUACUUCGUACAUAGUUCAAAGACUUAAUCUUCUCAUUUUCAAACUUUUUCAUCCUUUCCUCCUCACUCACACAUACUGAAAUUAACUCAUUCACAUCCCACUUUUCACGCAAUGCAUUGUAGGACAAUUUGAGAUGUGUAUAACUAUCAGGCAGGGAACUCAAUAUCACAUGUACCAAGAAAGUUUCAGGGAUUAGUACCUCGAGAGCUUUGAGUUUUCCAGCGAUGUCCACCAUUUUUAAAAUGUACUCACACACACUCUCUAUGCCAUCAUGUCUCAUGUUUGUCAGUGAAUUCAUGAGAUUACCUGUUUCAAUUUUUGGUGACUCCUGGUACUUUUCUUCAAUGGACUUAAGGAAAUUGUUUGCAUUGGUAGCAUCCGUCUCAGUUUUUGGUGACUCUUGGUACUUCUGCUCAAUGGACUUGAGAAAUCCUUUGCAUUGGUAGCAUCUGUGAAGGCUCCUCGAACCACAUCAAUCAUGCUUCUUUUGAUAAUCAAUAAGGAAAUUCUGUUUGAUUUGUGCCACUUUUCAUAUUUAGACUUCUGACUUGAGGUGCUUCCAUCUGUUCGUGUAGGGGGCUCUUCAGUUCUAAGUGCUAAGUCCCAAUCCAUGACACCUAGCACGAUCUCAAGAUCUUGCUUCCAUUUCUUAUAGUUGACACCAGUGAGUGGUUCAACUGUAUUAAGGUGCAUGGAGCUAGGAUUCAUAACUGUCAAAGCACAUAGUUCAGUUAUUAAUCCUAGUUCUUUGAGACGAUGUCUUCUACAGGUAAGUGGUUAAGUUGAUAAUUGUGAAUAAGUUUUUCCGUUGCAUAAUUUACUUACAAUAUAUCUUCAAAAUUCAAAACAACUAAUUGAAAACAAUCAUAGGAAUCUGAAAGAAGUAUGAAAUAUGGACUGGUCUUCAUUAUCGAACUGGAAAAGCGAAAAACAAAAGAGGCGUUUGACGAACGGACUCUGAUGUGACUCUGAUAUGUGAUGAUGACGAAUCACCACCUAGAUUGUGCCUCACCAUUGAACCAAGCUGGAUGUCCCAUACUAGAUUAACCCAUGUUGUAAUUAAUGAAACAUAAUUGUAUGAUCCAGCCAAAUUAGAUCAACUUCAACUUUAUCCCUGCCUUGCAGAUUGAGCUUCAAGACACGAGUCGGAGUGCAGAUGAUGGCAGAAUGUUUGAAAGUGGAGAAAAAUUCGGAGAUUUUCUGUUGAGAAAUCCAUCACUUUAGUUUUGCUGAAUGUUACCUGAACAAGUAGAUGAGUGAUCAAGAGACAAAGAAAGGCGUGUAAGAGGAUCUUUGUCCAUUGGGUCGGAUAUGUGAUCUCUGUUACUGACUGCAG
rnacentral:lncRNA from 1 species